AUUGAACGCUGGCGGCAUGCCUUACACAUGCAAGUCGAGCGGCAGCGCGGGGGCAACCCUGGCGGCGAGCGGCGGACGGGUGAGUAAUACAUCGGAACGUGUCCUUUCGCGGGGAUAACCAGUCGAAAGACUGGCUAAUACCGCAUGAGAUCUCACGAUGAAAGCGAGGGACCGCAAGGCCUCGCGCGAUUGGAGCGGCCGAUGCCGGAUUAGCUAGUUGGCGGGGUAAAAGCCCACCAAGGCUACGAUCCGUAGCUGGUUUGAGAGAACGACCAGCCACACUGGGACUGAGACACGGCCCAGACUCCUACGGGAGGCAGCAGUGGGGAAUUUUGGACAAUGGGGGCAACCCUGAUCCAGCCAUGCCGCGUGUGUGAAGAAGGCCUC
rnacentral:rRNA from 1 species